rnacentral:lncRNA from 1 species
CAUGAAUCUGCUCACGAUCCCCACUGCAUAAGCAAUGUCAAGUCUGGUGUUCACCAGAUAUCUCAAACUGCCGAUCAAACUGCGAUACUNNNNNNNNNNGUACAAUAUACUCGGCUUCACACGAUGAUAGCGCCACAAUCCUCUGUUUUUGCGAUGACCAGGUAAUUGCACCUGAUNNNNNNNNNNCCCGUAUCCAAGGGUUCCUUUUAUGUACCUCAGAAUUUGUCUCACUGCAGUCCAGUGAUCCUUGCCUGGUGACUCCAUGAAUCUGCUCACGAUCCCCACUGCAUAAGCAAUGUCAGGUCUGGUGUUCACCAGAUAUCUCAAACUGCCGAUCAAACUGCGAUACUCGCUUGCAUCCUGAACCGGUCCACUGUUUUUCUUCAGCUUCAGGCGGUUCUCCAUGGGAGUGCUACAAGAAUUGCACUCGCUCAUCCCUGCAUCCUCCAGAAUCUUCGCUGCGUAGCUCGACUGGCACACCGUGAUCCCGUCGUCCUCCUGCUUCACCUCGAUCCCAAGGUAAUAGCUGAGAAGACCGAGAUCUGUCAUCUGAAAGAGCUCCUGCAUCUGCUGCUUGAAGUGAUCUAUGGCUUCUGCCUUUGUGCCCGUGAUCACCAGAUCGUCCACAUACACGCCAACCAGCAGAAGCUCAUNNNNNNNNNNUGUCGUCCUCCUGCUUCACCUCGAUCCCAAGGUAAUAGCUCAGAAGACCG